UUUGCAGAAAAUGAGACAAAGGCU
rnacentral:siRNA from 1 species